rnacentral:tRNA from 1 species
GGGCCUAUGGCUUAAUGGAUAAAGUGCCGGUCUACGGAACCGGAGAUUCCAAGUUCGAUCCCUGGUAGGCUCG